rnacentral:rRNA from 1 species
UACGAAAGAGGCCAGCGUCGCUCGGAAUUACUGGGCGUAAAGCGCACGUAGGCGGCCUGCCAAGUUAGGGGUGAAAGCCCAGAGCUCAACUCUGGAAUUGCCUCUAAAACUGGUAAGCACGAGGAUGUGAGAGGUGAGUGGAAUUCCGAGUGUAGAGGUGAAAUUCGUAGAUAUUCGGAAGAACACCGGUGGCGAAGGCGACUCACUGGCACAUAUCUGACGGUGAGGUGCGAAAGCGUUGGGAGCAAACAGG